rnacentral:rRNA from 1 species
UACAGAGGUGGCAAGCGUUGUUCGGAAUUACUGGGCGUAAAGGGCGCGUAGGCGGUCUUCUAAGUCUUGUGUGAAAUCCCUCGGCUCAACUGAGGAACUGCACGGGAUACUGGAAGACUUGAGUUCGGGAGAGGGAAGCGGAAUUCCCGGUGUAGCAGUGAAAUGCGUAGAGAUCGGGAGGAACAUCAGUUGCGAAGGCGGCUCUCUGGACCAGUACUGACGCUGAGGCACGAAAGCGUGGGGAGCAAACAGG